GCCCAGAAAAAAAUCGUGGGCAGGGGGUUGUGCUGAUCUCCUUCCCUCUUCCCUUCCUUGUCGUCGGUGGGAAACAAAAAUCACCUGCAAACACACAAAAAACGCAGCAACAGUCUGUUUUAAAUUUUUUCUUUAUUUCAAAAUCUGCUUCGUUUUUUCUUCUUUUUGGCAGAUCUGUUCCCGGUGCUCUGCCUCCUUCCUUCUCUGUCUCCGGCAACCGAUUAGUCUUCUUCUCCUCUGUUUCGGGUUGUAGAUCGGGCGGUGAGGUUGUCCUGGCUGCGAGGAGAGCGACGGCCAGCGGAGGGGCGCGUCCGGCUGCUGUGGCGACCGUCGCUGCUGAGGAGAUCGAAGAAGAACAUGCUGCCGAGAGAGAGGUUUCAGUGUUGAUGGGUCCGGCAGGAUGGAGACGAAGGGGCUGUCUUGGGUUUUUUUAUGGCUGAAGAGGGUGAGGGAAAAAGUGGCCGAGAGGGAGAGAAGGGGGUUGUGAGUGGUGCUGGUUUGGGGAAGAAAAGAAAAUGAAAACGGGGAGGGGGUUGUUCGGUUUUGAAGGAGAAGGGAGAGGAUUUUUGUGGCUUCCCUGUGCAGGCCUUGGAUUUUGGUUGAAGGGGAAGAAGAUGGGGGGGAAAAACCGGCUGAGAUUGAGCUGAAAAUCAGGGGUUGUGGGAGUAAAAAAAAAAAUUUCAAACGGGGAAGGGGGCUGGUUCUGGUGUUGAAAGAAAAACAAAAAUGUCAAGGGCGGGGGCGGUUGCCUUGAUUUUCUGAUGGUGGCUGCCCGGGAGAAAAAAUGAAAUCCACCGGGGGGGUGCCUUCGUUUUUUUGCCUCCUCUAGGGAGAGUGUGUGGCUGGUUUUUUAUCAGGGGAAAGAGAGGAAAAUUAAUUACCAAGGGGGUGGGGGCCGUGUUGCUGAUUUUCAGCUGGAAAAAUAACGGUCUUGGACCCGGGGGGGCUGGCGCUGUUUGAAAAAAAAAGAUAGUUAUAGUUUUUUUUUUUUUAUUAUUUUUCUGGUGUUUCCAAAAUUAACCCCCUUGCAAAAAUGAAAACCCCUCCUUGAAUGUGAGUUUAAGACCAAUAUUUAUAGGCAAAAAAUAUUGCCAAGUUUUCAAAAAUUGGUGAACUUUCUUUUUUUGUAAAAUUUUGAUUUUUCUUGUUUGUUUUUUUUUUGUAUUUUUUUUAAAACGAGCAAUAUCAACGUCGACUCAAAUACGGAAAAUCAAUGAUUUUAAAAAAAUGACGCGUGAAAAGUCGAACGCGUUCGAAAGACCCUGAAAAAAUUUAAAUUCUUUUUAGACGACGUUGAAAAUGCUAAAAUUACGAAAAUAUAUAAAAAAAACAUAUUUUUUUGGAUUUUCUUUGUUUUUCUCUAUUUUUGGAUUUUUUUGAAAAUAUAUCAAAAACAUGGGUAAAAAAUUGGGUAGCAACAGAUGCCCCCUCUUUACAAUGCUUACGAAGCAAAAAUCCUCGAUGUUUUGCAUAGUAAGCUUUGUAAAGAAAAACUUACCUUUAUGUUUGCUCAAUAUCCACUUCAUCAGCAAUCUUCCCCUUUUUUUUUUUUAUCCUGAGAUCUCAUCUGGCGACCUCCUUUAAACAAAACCAAAGAAUGUGUGUAACUCGGUCAACCUGAAAUCCCAUAUGGAGAUUCCCUUUAACCAAAGCUACAUGAGAUCCCAUCUGGCGACCUCAUUCAACUGGAACAAAAGAAUGUGUAAAAAGUGGUCUCAUUAUAAUGGGUGACCUACCCAGAUGGAAAGGGGGGGAAGAGUGGUCUCAUUCUUUGGGUGACCUACCCAGGGGGAAGAAUGGCCUCAUUCUUAUGGGUGACCUACCCAAGUAAAAAAAAAGAUGGAGAAUGGUCUCAUUCUAAUGGGUGACCUACCCAGAAAAAAAUGGUGGUCUCAUUGUGAUGGGUGACCUACCCAAGUGGAAAAGAGGAAAGAGUGGUCUCAUUCUUUGGGUGACCUACCCAGGGGGAAGAAUGGCCUCAUUCUUAUGGGUGACCGACCCAGGUAAAAAAAAAAUGGAGAAUGGUCUCAUUCUAAUGGGUGACCUACCCAGAAAAAAUGGUGGUCUCAUUGUGAUGGGUGACCUACCCAAGUGGAAAAGAGGAAGAGUGGUCUCAUUCUUUGGGUGACCUACCCAGGGAGAGGAAUGGCCUCAUUCUUAUGGGUGACCUACCCAGGUAAAAAAAAAUGGAGAAUGGUCUCAUUCUUUGGGUGACCUACCCAGAAAAGAUGAUGGUCUCAUUGUGAUGGGUGACCUACCCAAGAUGGAAAAAAUGUGAAGUGUGGUCUCAUUGUAAUGGGUGACCUACCCAGAUGGAAAAAAUGUGAUGAAGUGGUCUCGUUGUGAUGGGCGACCUACCCAAAUAGAAUGAAUAUGAAGUGCGGUCUCAUUGUAAUGGGUGACCUACCCAAAAAUGGAAAAAAUAUGAAGUGUGGUCUCAUUGUAAUGGGUGACCUACCCAGAUGGAAAAAAAAAUAUGAUGAAGUGUGAAAACUAGGACUUACCUGGCGAAGUCCUGAGGGGAUGACAGAAGAAGGGCUGGAAAACUUGGUGCUUCCUGAUAACUCCCGAUCAUAGGGUUUGAAAACUCGGUGUUUCCUAACUGCAAGGGUUGGAAACUCGAGGCUUCUCGAUUGCAAUGUUGAUCUUUUCAUUUCUUUAGGAUUUUUCUAAUGGUAAUGUUUAUCCCAUCGUCCUUUUAUUCCAUGAUCAAAAUCGAUUCUUUAUUAUCAUCACCACAAUGCUUCUUUCUUUUUCCACCAUCUUGCUGGACCUCAUUAAGGAUUUUCCUGUAACAAUUCAAAAAUAUGUGCAAAUGGAUUUUUUUUUUUUUUUUAGGUUAGAUGAUAUGCAUGCAUCCUUACCUGAUUUGAAAUAUAGGUCCCCCCCCUCUUUGAUGCUCCAUCGUCAUAGGGUGCCCUUGUCUGCAUCCCAAAGCUUUCUUUGUUCUUUCGAUGCAUUGGCUCAUUCAUGUGUAGUAUCACGUAGCAAAUGCAGUGCCAUCCCGGGCUGUCUUCGACAAUUACUGCUCGCAUCGCUCAUCAAGCUUGACAAUGCCUCCAAGUGUGGUGUUGCUUGAUUCAUCAUGAAGAAUUCUCUCUCUUGGAUUCUUCUGAGAAUUAUCCUUUGAUUGAUUGUAUGCAUCAUGCCAACACCCAUCAAGUGUUAAUCAGUCAUGAACUUGCCUUCGGUUGAAACACCAUUUAAGUAUGUAUGGUCACCAGCCUUUCAUGGAACUGCCAAGUCAUCCAGACAUGCAUCUCAUUAUUUGCAGUAAACAACUCAUCAUUAAGCGCGAUGUAUUUCUCUAUAGAUUCCUCUUAGCUGUCAAAUCAGAUCGUGAAAUAACUGCUUUGGCAUCAUCAAUGAUGUUCAUGUUAUCACCCAUAUUCAUGCGGUGAAGUGCGCAUUUGAGCUUCAGAAUAGAUGGUCCCAUAGUCAAUCUUGUGGUAUGCAUAUGUUCGAUGUUCAUUCAAAUGCACUCACCCGAUAACAUCUGUCAGGAGUCAUAGCCAUGUUUUACAGGUAACCCAAGAUGAAGAUAUGAAAAUAUCCUUCAAGUGCAGCGUUGCUCAUCAAUUGCUGCUGAAGUGCACUAGAUCAUGGAUUGUCUUUGAACAACAUUGCCCCUAAUGAUCUGAGCAUGCUCAUUCUUCUGUUAUAAAAAUUGGCUUUUGUGAUGCAGAGUACUUUGAUGAACUUUGAUGACUCAUCAUCUGAUUCUUUCUUUGCCCCCAGCUGAUCUGGAUAUUGUUUGCUUUUCUUCUAAGGGCCCUGUAUUGCCCCCAGGUGGUCAACGUUUCAAGGAGUGUCGAGAAAUGUUGAUGUCAUUUUUGUCAAGGAUUUUGCAAACUCAAUGAUGUUCUUGUUUGAAAAUCUUUCUUGUUCUGGAAUCAAAUCUCACAUUUCAACGAUCAUGUCUAUUCAAGUCUAAUUGUUGAAAUGAAAUCAGAGAGAUGUCUGUUUUUGAAUUAUUAUUUUUUUUUGAAAUUCAAACUUCUUUGGUCAAAGACCCAACACACUAUUCAAUGCAGUCCUUUGAUUGUCUUGUAUUUGAAAACAGAAAUGACCCGUUGUAAGAUUUAAAAUGACUUUUUCAUGGUUCUUUGUGUCCACUUUAAACUCUGAUUUUGGGUAUAUCUUUUGAUGGUCUGUGAUGAGGUGACAUUUUUAUGAAUUUCAAAAACAAAGCUCAGCUUUAUCAAGAAAGGUUGUUUCUUUUCUUAGCAUUUAUUUUAUCAGCAUGCAUAAUAACCAGUAGCUUAAUUCAUGAAGUCACGACCUUAUGGAAAAACUCUUCAAGUUUUGAGCGCCAUUUAUCGAUUCAAAUUGCUUGCUUGAUUAAAAAGGGCUUUUAAAAGCAUGUAAUGCAGGCUAUGGUUCAUGGCUAUGAAAGAAAGGAAUUCAAGGCUCAAAAGGUGUUUGAGGGUUUCAACGACCUAGGACAACAUUAACUAUUCAUCGAUUCUCUUUCUCUUGUUGUCAUUGUAGAGAAAGUGACAUAUAACCUUGUUAAUCUCAAAUAUCAGAAUUCUCUUAACAUAGGUCAUAAUGCAAAUCCAACUUUUCUUUGAUGAAUAAAAAUCUAAUUAUUUUUGAAGACAUUAGAGGCUUUAUCCUAGACACACCAAAAGAUAUGAAGCAUCGAUUUUUCUAGUGUUGACUUUUGGCAUUUAUGUCUUUUCUCAAUUGAAAACUGUCUUGCCUCUCUUAGAAUUGAUAGGCAUUUUCUUUCCUUUCAUUUUUUUGCAGCCUUCCUCAAAGUUUUUCUUGGAUGGCCCUCAAUCUAUGGAUUUUCUUCUUCUAGCCCUUUCUCAAACAUUGGACUUUUGUUCUAAGCUUUUCUUUGAUCCAUUGAUUUAUCAGUGUCUCCAAAAUAUUUCUCAUUUGCCCCCAGUGUGGGGUGUGAUCCUAGUCAGGGUUUUUUUGAAAAAAUAUCUACCAGCUCAAAAUGGGACUACAAGGGAUAUAAUUUUUAGAAAGUGAAGGAUAUCAAAGAUGGCCUUUUCUCAUUUCAAGCAAGGUCGGUUAGAACCGAUAAAUUUUGACCUCAUCUAGUGUAAUGAUUUGGACUUGCAAGAAUCAUGAUUCACGAGUCCAUAACUACCGAAUCCACUACAUGUCAUUAUGCAUACUGCUAAAACUUAGCUAUAUGAUGUGUGGUUCAGUUUCAAAGGUAUGAGUUCAAAAUUGUUUGGUCACCUCAUGUCAUUUCAAGCAAGAGUCAUUUCUGUAAUCAAAACACUUUUAAUCUUCAGGAUUGAUUAACCUUUAUCGCAUGUUGGAGUUUGAUCAAAAUAUUUUGUCAGAAUAAAAUGUAAACAUCUGUUGAUUUCAAAACAACAAAGAGACAAAAGCAAGGCAUGUUUCGUUGAAGGAUGAGAUGUGAUCCCAAAACAAAAUGCAGAAUUCCAUAACAAUAUGAUUGACUGUUCAUCACCAUUCUUGAAUCAGCUUUUCUGGCAAUAUUUGUUUUGCCAAGCACUUUCGAUCAACAUGUCAUUCUGAAGAUGUUCGGGGACAAUAUAGCCAAUGACACCCUCUUCACGACUCCACUUGUCUCUUGCUCACCAACUUUCAGACUCAAUUCUUGCAAUUCUUGAAUUGUCACUUGAAAUGGUUGAGGACCCCACCAUGACAUCACAUCUCUUAUCUGGAUUAUACCACCUAGAAAUUGGUGGUUGCAUGGGAUUUGUCGGAGUCAAGCAAAAUUCUGGAAUCUGGCAGAUGCUGGUCGACAAACUUAAGUGGCAGAGGAAUGUCCCAUCUUGGCAAAGACAUUUGAGCAAUUGAUGCUACCGUGAGACCUGGCUAUACCACAUAAUUAAGGGUUCACACCGUCAAAGUCAUCUCCUGAUUCACCUCUCAUCAUUGUUCUGAAUCCAUGGCAGAUCCUUCAAUCUUUCUCUCUUCAUAGCUUGUUCAAUUCUUCGGCAAAUCCUCACAACAUUAUUUCAAUCUUCCAAUGUUGCUUGGUUGGUUGAGGAUUGUUAGAAAACUUUCUAACAGCUUGGUAAUCUUGGCAGCGCCCAGAAACUUGUAGUAUCGCCACUACCGACGUGUGGAAUCACACAUUGUCUCUAUUGGAAGAGCACCUGAUGAAUCUAAAACUCCUUUGUCCCCUCUUCGAUUUCUCACUGACAGUGCAGCAAACAAACACCUAUAGAGGAAGUCCUGCUCUGUUGAAGUUUCAGUAUUCUUCAUGUUUUUCAGUCUAGGCAUGUCUCUUCUCUCUACUUUUGCGUUUUAGUACUGACACUGUUUUGGAGGAAAAUCAUAGAUGAUCUGAAACUACUGUGUUCUUUCUUGGAUUUCCCACUUGCGGAUCCACAAACAGAUUCCUGCCGAGAGAGCUCUGCUACGUUGAAGUUUGAUGUAUGCUCAUAUUUUUCAGACCAGGUCUGACUCUUCAACCUACUAAAAGGUCUUCGUGCUGAAGCUGAUGAGAGAAAUAUUUGUAGCAUAUGCAACUUAUAAAUCCCCUCUUGCAUUCCCAAUUUGCAGAGCCAUAAAUGGAUUUUUGUAGAGAGAGCUCUGCCACAUUGAAGUUUGACAACUGCUAAUAUUAUCAGACCAGGUCUGACUCUUCUGCCUACUACAAUGUUUUGCUAGUGCCACUGGUGGGAAACAAUUUCAAAGCAUAUGAAAUUAAUACAUUCCCUUUUGCAUUUGCCAUUGACAGAUCCACAAAUAUAUCUCUACAGAGAGAGCUCUACCGCGUUGAAAUUCAGUGUCUGAUCAUGGUUUUUCAGACCAACAUCUUAUGCUGCUGAACUGGAAUUGAGCUCAUAAUUGGGGUAACUUCAAAAACAGACUAAUGCACCAUGAACAGGAGGCUAGUAGUCGUUUGGUUCCAUUAGAUGAUGUGGAGGCGAUGAAUACUUAACAGCGCAACUGGACAGGAAUCAGAGUUGUCAUUAGUUGAUGACUGAAGGCGUUGUUGCUGUUGUUCAUGACUUUGAUGCUCUCAAACUCAAUCUGAUAAUGAGCCUCUAUCUGACAUCUUUCUUCAAUCACUUGCAGCACAGCUUGUGCGGGGGAACCUACUUUUCAACCCGGUACAUGCAUGAUAAAUGUAUGAAUAUGUAAUCUAUAUGACGAGCUCACCCUUCGAGGGGUGACAAUAUGGUCGUAACUCUUGUAUGAUGGAACAAGAAUCGUGAUUUUUGCCCAAACUCUACAAUGAAAAUUUUAGGAGUGAUGGCCAAUGUGUCACCCACAAGUCUUGCGUUCAAGAUGAUUCAAGAAGAGUUUGCUCGGAUGCAAAACAAUAGCACAUACAUCCUAAAGUCAGGCUCUAUUCAUUUUACGUGAGACAUGGUAGGUUUGCUACUUGGUCUCUAAAAGGGUCUCUUGUUGUCCCAGUGAUCGCCUUCGUAAAGACAAUAUAGGGGCCCAGUAGGUAAUUGGUUGGCACGUGUCCAACUAUUACCAGUCUAAGCACUCAACAAAGAGUUGGGGUUUACACAAACUUAAACCUUGACUCAAGUCGUAAGGCAAGCUGCUAGUCCCCCACCUAACCUAAAGCUGGUGUGUGCUUUCAAAAAUUAAAAUUUGUGAUGCAUGAGAGAAAUAUUUACAAUGCAUGAAUAAAAUACAAAUAAAUAAAACAAAGCACCAAAAAAAAUUGAACACAUCAAAACACAAAGCUUAGUCCGAUAAAGUUGAAAACAAUACCUGUCCCCAGUGGAGUCGCCAUCCUGUCGCACCCCAAAAAAAAUCCAGACGCGCGGCAUCGGCUGGCGAUUUUUAUCGUUUUGUUGCGUAAUGUUUGAAUUUGGUUCGUUGGAGUCGCCACCUAGUAAUUCAUUGAUUUCGGGCUACUAGGAAACCGGAUGUACUGGUCUUGUCAGAGAUUCGCGGGUAAGGGACUGGUUGUGGUUAGGGAAGGUAUUAGCACCCCUAACACACCCUACCUGAGGUAAGCUGCUUUGUGUUCUGAUGUGAUUUGAAAAUUUAAAAUAUUAAUUAAAUUCUAAGGCUUGAAUAAAUCAGUUAUUAAAUCCCCGAAUAUAUGUAAAAACUUGUUCUUACAUUUUCGUGGAAAAUACAACUUGAUUUUAUUUGUCCUUGAGAUAUUUAACCAUAUUUAAAUUUAACAAAUAAUUCUUUUUGUGUUUUUUUUUAUUUUUAUAAUUCAAUAACAUAAAUAAAUAAAUAAAAACAAUCACACACACAACUUUUUUAUUAUUUAUUUUCUUCUCUUUUCUUUUUUAUUUUAUUUUAUUUUACAUCACAUUUACACAAUAAAACAAAUAACAAAAAUUCAAAACAAAUCAAAUACAAUAAUAUCUAAAUACACACAGCAUCUAGAAAUUACAAAAAGGAAAAAGGAAAUCCUCGGGAACAGUGCUGCACAGCCUUGGUACCAUCUGAACCGUGGCGGCGCGUGGACCUCACGCCCCUCCGCCACCGGCGGCGCGUGGGUGCAUGCGCCGCCCAGAAAAAAAAUCGUGGGCAGGGGGUUGUGCUGAUCUCCUUCCCUCUUCCCUUCCUUGUCGUCGGUGGGAAACAAAAAUCACCUGCAAACACACAAAAAACGCAGCAACAGUCUGUUUUAAAUUUUUUCUUUAUUUCAAAAUCUGCUUCGUUUUUUCUUCUUUUUGGCAGAUCUGUUCCCGGUGCUCUGCCUCCUUCCUUCUUUGUCUCCGGCAACCGAUUAGUCUUCUUCUCCUCUGUUUCGGGUUAUAGAUCGGGCGGCGAGGUUGUCCUGGCUGCGAGGAGAGCGACGGCCAGCGGAGGGGCGCGUCCGGCUACUGUGGCGACCGUCGCUGCUGAGGAGAUCGAAGAAGAAGAUGCUGCCGAGAGAGAGGUUUCAGUGUUGAUGGGUCCGGCGGGAUGGAGACGAAGGGGCUGUCUUGGGUUUUUUAUGGCUGAAGAGGGUGAGGGAAAAAGUGGCCGAGAGGGAGAGAAGGG
rnacentral:lncRNA from 1 species